rnacentral:rRNA from 1 species
UACGUAGGGGGCAAGCGUUGUCCGGAUUUAUUGGGCGUAAAGAGCGUGUAGGCGGCCAAGCAGGUCUGCUGUGAAAACUCGAGGCUCAACCUCGAGACGUCGGUGGAAACCGUUUGGCUAGAGUCCGGAAGAGGAGAGUGGUAUUCCUGGUGUAGCGGUGAAAUGCGCAGAUAUCAGGAGGAACACCGAUGGCGAAGGCAGUGGGCUGGGCCGGCACUGACGCUGAGGAGCGAAAGCGUGGGGAGCGAACAGG